UAACAAAAAAGAAGAAAGAAAGAAAGGGCCAAGUGCCAUGGCUCAUGCCUGUAAUCUCAGCACUUUGAGACCCCCUGUUGCUACAAAAAAAAAUGUUUUUAAUUAGCCAGAUGUGGUGGUGUGCACCUGUAGUUCCAGCUACUCCGGAGACUGAGGCAGGAGGAUUGCUUGAGGCCAGGAGUUCAAGGCUGAGGAUUGCCCAGGAGUUCAAGCUGCUGCCUCCCCUCCGCUCCUCCCUCCCUGCGCACCAAAGUCCUGGGGCUGCUCCAAUGGCCGACUCCUUCCAAUCUUCUAUUGCUUUCUCCUCCCCGCUGGUCAUGCCAGCCUCAUCUCAUAGCCACCCCUGCCCCUGGCAUUGUCCAUGUCUCUUGUUCUCACCAUGCACCCAGCCUCACACACCCACCCCUAACACUGAACACUUGGAUCUCUGCUUCCUACGUAGAACUGUCUACAAUCUCGACAUUUCACAAAUCAAUAUGCAAAAACUUCUUCCUGCAUACCUGCUGCAAGGAAUUCAGAAAACUCCAUACCAGCCUCUGCCCCUAAGAAAGAGAAGUCAGCUCAAGGAAAGAGGAAAGGCACAAAGAGGUAGCAGAGAAAGAACAUUCCCUGCUAGUUCUGGGCCACUGUGGCAAGGGGAUCCCAGAAGGAAGGGGUCUUGUGGACCACAGAUGCUGGGGUAGGACUGGGUAAGUGGGAGGAUGGCAGGAAGGUUCUGCACGGGUCCGUGGAAGUGGGUGGCCCGUUUCAUCCAGGUGGGAGAGUGUGGGUUGGCCUUGUCCUUGCAGGGCCCUGUGGAAUAUUUCCCCAAAGGCUGGGAGAAGCCACU
rnacentral:lncRNA from 1 species